rnacentral:lncRNA from 1 species
GGCUUUGCAUCUGACAUUCGUUGGGCUUCCCUCUUUUGGAGCCUGCGUCCCGGCCUUUUUGUACAAUAAACCCCUCCAGCCGAAGACUAGUGGUAGGUGGUCCCACGGAGCUUUCGGAAAAGGGUAGCCUAGUGUGUAAGCACAUCAAUUUACCAUGGCGAACCCUAAGAUGGGAAAGUUGACUCCUGGGUCUGGAACCUGGGGGGUUGCUCCGAGAAAUCCUUUU